UACGAAGGGGGCUAGCGUUGCUCGGAAUUACUGGGCGUAAAGCGCACGUAGGCGGCUUUCUAAGUCGGGGGUGAAAUCCUGGAGCUCAACUCCAGAACUGCCUUCGAUACUGGAGAGCUCGAGUCCGGGAGAGGUGAGUGGAGCUGCGAGUGUAGAGGUGAAAUUCGUAGAUAUUCGCAAGAACACCAGUGGCGAAGGCGGCUCACUGGCCCGGUACUGACGCUGAGGUGCGAAAGCGUGGGGAGCAAACAGG
rnacentral:rRNA from 1 species